rnacentral:rRNA from 1 species
GAUGAACGCUGGCGGCGUGCCUAAUACAUGCAAGUCGAGCGAACAGACGAGGAGCUUGCUCCUCUGACGUUAGCGGCGGACGGGUGAGUAACACGUGGAUAACCUACCUAUAAGACUGGGAUAACUUCGGGAAACCGGAGCUAAUACCGGAUAAUAUAUUGAACCGCAUGGUUCAAUAGUGAAAGACGGUUUUGCUGUCACUUAUAGAUGGAUCCGCGCCGCAUUAGCUAGUUGGUAAGGUAACGGCUUACCAAGGCAACGAUGCGUAGCCGACCUGAGAGGGUGCUCGGCCACACUGGAACUGAGACACGGUCCAGACUCCUACGGGAGGCAGCAGUAGGGAAUCUUCCGCAAUGGGCGAAAGCUUGACGGAGCAACGCCGCGUGAGUGAUGAAGGUCUUCGGAUCGUAAAACUCUGUUAUUAGGGAAGAACAAAUGUGUAAGUAACUAUGCACGGCUUGACGGUACCUAAUCAGAAAGCCACGGCUAACUACGUG